rnacentral:rRNA from 1 species
UCACUCUAGCGAGACUGCCGGUAAUAAACCGGAGGAAGGUGGGGAUGACGUCAAAUCAUCAUGCCCCUUAUGACCUGGGCUACACACGUGCUACAAUGGCUGGUACAACGAGUCGCAAGCCGGUGACGGCAAGCUAAUCUCUGAAAGCCAGUCUCAGUUCGGAUUGUAGGCUGCAACUCGCCUACAUGAAGUCGGAAUCGCUAGUAAUCGCGGAUCAGCACGCCGCGGUGAAUACGUUCCCGGGCCUUGUACACACCGCCCGUCACACCACGAGAGUUUGUAACACCCGAAGUCGGUGAGGUAACCGUAAGGAGCCAGCCGCCUAAGGUGGGAUAGAUGAUUGGGGUGAAGUCGUAACAAGGUAACCGUAA